UACGUAGGGUGCGAGCGUUGUCCGGAAUUACUGGGCGUAAAGAGCUCGUAGGUGGUUUGUCGCGUUGUUCGUGAAAACUCACAGCUCAACUGUGGGCGUGCGGGCGAUACGGGCGGACUGGAGUACUGCAGGGGAGACUGGAAUUCCUGGUGUAGCGGUGGAAUGCGCAGAUAUCAGGAGGAACACCGGUGGCGAAGGCGGGUCUCUGGGCAGUAACUGACGCUGAGGAGCGAAAGCGUGGGGAGCGAACAGG
rnacentral:rRNA from 1 species